UACGAAGGGGGCUAGCGUUGCUCGGAAUCACUGGGCGUAAAGCGCACGUAGGCGGCUUUUUAAGUCAGGGGUGAAAUCCUGGAGCUCAACUCCAGAACUGCCUUUGAUACUGAGAGGCUUGAGUCCGGGAGAGGUGAGUGGAACUGCGAGUGUAGAGGUGAAAUUCGUAGAUAUUCGCAAGAACACCAGUGGCGAAGGCGGCUCACUGGCCCGGGACUGACGCUGAGGUGCGAAAGCGUGGGGAGCAAACAGG
rnacentral:rRNA from 1 species